CUUAGAACAAGAAAAGGCUCUGAAACAGAUCCAAGAUGUUGUUUGAGCCAUGCAACUAGAAGAUCUCAUAGAACUAAAGUUAUCUAAUUUACAGAAAAGGUUUUACGUGACGUCUAUUGUACAGAUUCAUAUGAAAACCAUAGUUCAAACUCCAAGGUUUAAGAAGUAAGAAAGAUCAUGCCAUUUGCAACAAACAUGCAUGCAUAUUUGAAAAGCAACUGUAAGUAUGCUAUUGGACAUUGGUAAAGAUUGAAUAUCUGACCAUGGCAUAUCAAGAAACCAUGGAAUGAGUACUGCUUAUCAAGAUCUGGGUGUGAGAAGACUUAAAAAGUCAGAUAGUCAGUGAGAACCAGCUAGAAUCCAUGAUCUGUUGUGGGAAAACUAGAAGACCAAAAAAAGCACGAAAGUCAAGAAAGAAGUCUCUUUUCACAUGAAAGUGGCUGUGCUAAUGGUCUAUCAAGAUAUCCUGAGUUUCCAGUAGAGAUGUUUCAGCCAUAACACAGGCCUGGUAGAAAAAGCCUGAAGACAAAUACUGCUAUGAAUGGUUACAUCUAGGACUUCUGAAAUUAGCCCCAGAUUCAACUCAUUUUUUUCUGCAUUUGCUGAGCAAUAUGACAUGUUUACACCGAUUAGCUAAAAAGUUAUGUGAAGAAUGGGCAACAAUAUCUCUAAGGCAAGAUAUGUUCAGAUCCAAUAUAGUUCAUAUAGACCUUGUCAGAGUAAAUGACCAUGUGCCUUUCAGAACACUAAAGAAUAAAAUCCUU
rnacentral:lncRNA from 1 species